rnacentral:rRNA from 1 species
CCUACGGGGGGCGGCAGUAGGGAAUUUUCGGCAAUGGGGGCAACCCUGACCGAGCGACGCCGCGUGAGUGAAGAAGGCCUUCGGGUUGUAAAGCUCUGUUGUAAGGGAAGAAUGGUACUUGUAGGGAAUGGCAAGUAAUUGACGGUACCUUACCAGAAAGCCACGGCUAACUACGUGCCAGCAGCCCCGGUC